UACUUUCUGGCAGUAAAAUCUUGCUAAAUUAUGCAGGGAGACUGAAAACAUGAUCCUGACUGGACCAAGAUGCUUUGUGGCAGUUGCAGAGCUGGAGAGCCUGACAGAGACAGGAGAAGUCUGAAGGUUUGAUGACCCAAGCCAAGCUCCCAGGGCGUGGACCUUUGCAGGCUGUAUUGACAGACAAGAGGAUAAUCAUGGAAUCACAGACUGUUGCCAACCUGGAUCUCAGCAGGGAACAGGGCUGCUCUGAUUGCCACGGACUGAGCUGGAUCUGCAGGUUUAUCCAGAGCCAGGUGUGCACAGGUCAGUGCCAGCAUUCCCAGAAUGGCAGUGUGGCAGGAUGAUACCUAUGCCACAAAGGAUAUCUUUGCCACCAACCCUCAGGUUUGUGGGUUG